UACGUAGGGGGCAAGCGUUAUCCGGAUUUACUGGGUGUAAAGGGGGCGUAGACGGCAGCGCAAGCCAGGAGUGAAAGCCCGGGGCCCAACCCCGGGACUGCUCUUGGAACUGCGCGGCUGGAGUGCAGGAGGGGCAGGCGGAAUUCCUGGGGUAGCGGUGAAAUGCGUAGAUAUCAGGAGGAACACCGGUGGCGAAGGCGGCCUGCUGGGCUGCGACUGACGUUGAGGCCCGAAAGCGUGGGGAGCAAACAGG
rnacentral:rRNA from 1 species